rnacentral:lncRNA from 1 species
CUUUUGUGAAAUUAUUUUCUGGUUUCACUUGAUGUUAUACCUUUACUCAUUUGUACUGCUGUAGGGGGAGCUUGGAUUGCCUGGUCCACCUGGAGUUGAUGGAGAAAAGGGAUCUAAAGGAGACCCAGGAAAUCCUGGGAUAAUGGGACAAAAAGGAGAGAUUGGAGAAAUGGGCUUGUCUGGCCUACCGGGAAUCGAUGGGCCAAAAGGAGAGAGAGGAGAAACCGGAUCCCCAUGUUUGCAGAACAAUCAUAUAAUACCAGAACCAGGACCCCCUGGAUUGCCAGGCCCUAUGGGUCCUCAAGGAAUCCCAGGUCCUAAGGGCUUGGAUGGUGUAAAGGGAGAAAAAGGUGACCAUGGUGAGAAAGGGGCAGCUGGUGACACUGGGCCACCUGGUCCUGCUGGUCCCCCGGGACUUAUUGGCUUACCAGGCACCAAAGGGGAGAAGGUAAUAAUUCAGUAGGGAAAGAGAAGAUAAAAAUAUAUUGUAAUUAUAAUGAACUGGCUAGA